UGUAAGUUUAGAAAUAAGAUAUCGCAAACUUGGGACAAAACAAACGAGAAUGCGUACUUCUCGCUAAUAAAGGCACGUGCCUUAAAGGAGCCGUUUUAAAGGACGACAAACGUUGGCUCUGAUAGCACCGCUUGCCUGUCAGUGGCCAAAUGCGGUAUUGCAGGCGAAAUGUCGCCAUGGAGCCUCUCAGAAAUGGGAAGGCCAAGCUGUCGAUUUGCAGAUCUUAUCAUUGCUUCGGAAAUCAUCAUCCUUAGAAGACGGAGAAGACGCGUCUCUCUCCUCGCCCGAACAAACUCAAAGUCAACUCCCCAACACCGCCCCUCAGCUCAUCAGCUCACACCCUGUCCAGUCAUGAUAAAACAACAGUCAAAAGCACAUGGAUAUUACAGCCAGCUGUUUUGGAUCUCUACUCUCCAGGGUUGUAUAUCUCCAGGACUGGGUCCUGCAAUAAACCAAACAGUGCCUGUAUGUACUAUGUGUGUAAACUUUAGUAGUUUUAAUUAAAUCAUAGCUUCAUUAAUA